ensembl:lncRNA
CUGGGUAAGCAAAUCGAGCGCACCGUCUCUACAACCUGCAAUAAUCUGUGUACGGGGCUCCGCACCCUACGUGAUGUUCCUAAAGAGCUGCAGCCCUGCACACAUAUCAGGACACUUUUCAAGAACAGCUGAGAGGUGUAGGCUACUACUAAGCGAGAGGUCAACUAUGGAUACUCGGCUGUGAGAAUUUUUGAUGGAGCGAAACUUGAAGAUGAGAAUAUGCACAAUGAGGGACGUCUGCAGAGACUGAGAAAGAGUCUCACCACAUCCUGACAUGAGGAAAAAGACUUUAUUGAAGACUACAAUGAGAAAAACUAUCAGACAGCAGACGGCUGCAUUCAAGAGAAGAAGACCAUCAAACAUCCACAUCAGCUGAUGGAGGUCCAAGAGUCUCACCAAACAACCAACCUACAGAGUGAAGACCUCGAAUCUGAUUGGACGGCCUCCUAUUCAGCCACAUGUGUGAACAAAUGCCUCUAAGUUGAUUUGUUUUCUAAAAUAAAUCUAGUUUGAGUCCUAAUCUAUGCCUGUGUGUUUGCUUCUUUACACCGCUGUUAACAGUUUAGGCUGUUAGAUUGUUCCAGAUAAGACAAGUACAAGAUCCUGCAGAGCCGUUCUACCACGAGCCUGACAGGAAGAACUCCAACAGCUACUGAAUGUUCCUGUGGUUCCCUCAAGGCUACAGGAGGAGCCCUACGAGGACGAGCCGGUCCACCUGAUGGAGGCCAGUCGCUGCGGUUCAAAGCCAACACCGACUACGUGGACUUCUACUGGACCACAUGGAGGCCUUCAAACCGGACCAACAAGUUCAGCGACUCCCCGACUCGUGGGUCUGAGGAUGCCGCCGAGCCUCGGUCCAGCCGGCCUCCUGUCUGUGGGUGUUUGAGUGCUGAGAGGUUUGUGGAUGCAUGUGAACGUUCUGUGUUGAAACAGCAGCUUUGGACUCAGUAACGCCGGGAAAAACCAAGAGCUCCUUUAUUUGUGACUUCCACUAAAAAACUGAUGAAAAUAAGUUUGUCAGGGUUCUGACUGAUAACAGAUUAUUAAAUAAUGAAAAUAAUCAUUUAAAUAUUCCUUUAAACAAUCCUUUUAGGUCUACAUUUCCUUUACACUGACUUCUUGGUAUAUGUACAAGUAUUUUGGGUGGAAUAUACCAUUAAGCCCAAUGUUCAAGGGUUCUUCUGGGAAUAUACCAUUAAACCAACCUUUUAGGUAAAUGUUCCAAGAUGUUGGGUAGAAUAUACCAUCAGAUCAACCUUUUAGGUCUACACUGGAAGAUUUUAGAGUAGAAUAUUACUCCAAACCAUCCUUUAGCUCUACAUUUAAGGUGGAAUACUCCUUUACACCAAGAUUUUUUGGUCUACAUUGAAGGAUUUUGGAUGGAAUAUUCCUUUGAACGAACUUUUUAGGUUUAUGUUCAAGGAUGUUGGGUGGAAUAUACCAUCAGAUCAACCUCCAAGGUCUACAGUAGUGAAUUUUAGGUGGAAUAUACCAUUAAACUCACCUUUUAGGUCUACAUUUUAGGAUUUUAGGUGGAAUUUUCUUCCAAACCGUCUUUUAGUCUACAUUUAAGGAUGUUUAGGAUGGUAUAUUCUUCCGAACCAAUUUCUCAGGUCUACGUUUCAGGUGGAAUAUUCCUCCAUACUAACUUUUUGGUCUACAUUGAAGGAUCUUUUCUAAACCACUCUUUCGGGUCUAUAUUUGAGGUUUUAGGUGGAAUAUUCCUUUUAACCAGCCCCUCAGGUCUCUGAGGAUUUUGGAUGGAAUACUCGGUUAAACCAACAUUUUGGAUACAUGUCCAAGGAUUUUUGGUGGAAUGUUCCUUUAAGGUGGAUGUUUGAGGACCUUGUAGGUGGAAAACUUCCUGAAACCAACCUUUUAGGUCAACAUUCAAAGAUUUAAGGUGGAGUAUUCCUUUAAACCAACCUAAAUUUCAUGUUUUGAUCAUUAUCAAGUGAGAAACCUCAAUCCAGACUCCUCAUAAUGACGUUUGAGAUUUAUGCUGCUGUUAUUUGUUUAGUCCAGACUAAAUGACAGAAAUCCACAACUGUAAUUUUAUUUCAGGACUCGGUUAUUAAAUGUCAAAACAAUCCAUGUGACUCUAAAAACUCAACAGCUUUACAAACUCUAAGAUUAAACUCUCCACAAGGAUCCAAAAUAAGCUGGACUUCUACAUGAGAGCUUUAAUUAUUCUUCAUCUACUUCCUGAAAAGUUUGGUCAAUAAAAAAGACAAAAACUAGUAUUUUCAGCUGAACUAAAGACAGACUUUGUGAUUUUUCUGCUCACAUGUUGUGUUGUUGUAAACUUCCUCUUUCAAAUAAAUACCCACCUAACCCCCUGGAAACCAGCAUUUGUCCUGUUUUUGUGUUGCUCCUCAGUGACCCUAGACAGCCGGGUCGUAAUGUAUUUUGAGCAACACACCAUACUAUGACGUUUUUACAAUGAUGGUUCUGCUAUGGAACCAGUUUGACAUGUUCAGGCGUUCUUUGUGUGAAAACUCGGAGAUUUCAGGUAUCAGAAGGUGGUUUUCAACUUUCUUUGUUAACUUUCUGCCUCAACUUUAAACUAAAUUUCCUUCACUAACCCAGCCCUCUGGACUUCCAGUAAGCUGUGUUCCUAUUGGCUGUCCCAGUGGCUGCUAGGUAUUAUCAGGAACACCUGAGCAGCUCAGUGUCUUCCUGCUUUAUUUAGCUGCAGACAAACAUUUCCUCUGCUUCUGUUCACCACUGAACCGGGUUUGGCUCCGUUGCUUUAAUUUGUUCUUUAGGCGUUGGCUUGCAGCUUCCAGCAGUAAAAUUGUCUUUAAUGUGUUUCUUGGUGUGUUUUAGGGCUUUGUACUGGAUAGUUGUCUUGGUAAAUGUGGUUCUUUAGCCACAGUUACCACAUGGUGCUACUGUGUGCAGUGAUUAGUGGAUUUGGUGCAGCUGAGUUGUGUCUUUAUCUUGGCUGUAGUGAGUCUUCAGAGGUUUUUGGUCAGACACAUUCUGUAUUCUUGUUUGAGAACCAUCGUUGGUUGUCCAGAAGGUAAGAGUUCAUGUCCUGAUUCUCUGUUCUCAGAGGUUCUCUGGUAGGCUGCAGGACACUUUAGCGUUUGG